CUACGGUGAAUACGUUCCCGGGCCUUGUACACACCGCCCGUCAAGCCAUGGAAGCUGGGUGUACCUAAAGUCGAUAACCGUAAGGAGUCGCCUAGGGUAAAACUAGUAACUGGGGCU
rnacentral:rRNA from 1 species